UUUAUUUGCAUGUAUGUGUAGCUCUAUUUAUAUGUAUUAUAUUAAAACUUAUGUGAUGUGUAUGCUAAAAAAAACUUUACUAUAACUCAUUACUGACAGGCAGAGGUAGGAAGUAACAAAGUAAAAAUAUUUUGUCUGUAAUUGAGUAGUUAUUUUUUUAGCAACUUUUUACUUUUACUCCCCUCAUUUUAAAAUAAAUCUCUGUAUGUUCUACUCCUUACAUUUACAAAAAACCUUUUGAAAGCAAUUUCACCACCAUCAUGUGUCAAAUAAAUUUCUCAGCUUGAACAAUAAGUUGAUUCAUCAGAUGAUGUUGCAGCAGUAAAUGGGCUGGGGUGUUUUUUAAGCAUUCAGGUUUUGCAUUUUCACAUAGAAUUCCUGUGAAGUAAAACAGGCAAAUAUCUGUGAAACAAAAGUGAAAGCCUGACGUAAAAAUGCAAGCGAAAAUAAUAGUUUCAUCAUCUCAGUUGACAUAAUAGGAACAACACUGGAACACACCUUAACACACCCACACACAUGGAGGAGAUGAGCAAAAUGGGAGGUGGAAACAGCAGUGUAUAUUUAAAGGACAAAGGAGCUCUGAUCAUUUAUUCAUUCACCAGCUUCUUUUCACAUUACAGGUAAGUCUGAAAAUUAAAACUGGUCAUCUCAUAGUUUAUUUUAAGACUUUUAGAAAAUGGUUUGAAAAUUUUACAAAAUGGUUGCAGUUCAGUAGUUUCAGCAUUUCUUUGUAAGUUGUGUGUUCUUCACACAUCUUGAUGUUGUAAAUCUUGUUAUUUAAAAUAAUAAUGAAGCUAGAAUUUAAAACUCUCCAGUGUGGAAAUGUAUUAUUCACCUCUUUUUCCUAACACGUAAAUUUCCUUUUUAGAGACAGAUUUAAACAGAACAGCGAUGGCAGCAGCAGCUUUGGCCUCAAGCAGUGGAGUGACUGUUUCCCGCACCACCAAAGGCCUUGUUCUCAUGUUCACCCUGCUGUGUCUGGUUUGCCUUUCAAGUGCCCUGAUAGACAAGGACCAACUGGAACAACUCAGAGAAACCUAUCAGAAAACACAACAACAAAUAGAAAAACUGAAGGCUGAGCAUGAGGAAGAAGUGGCCUCCACUACAGAGCUGAUGAAUGAAUACAUGAGCUUUAUGGACCCGAUGAUCGCACUGAUGAAGAAAACGAUGCAAGCAUCACAUGAUGCUGAUUUUCCUCCACUAGAUAAAUUUAUGGAGAACUUUAAGAAUUACAUGAAGCAAACUAAAGCUAAACUAAAGCUUACGUUAACAGGAAGCACGACUUGAGGAAAGUGAAAAGAAACUUGGAAAAACUAAGAAAUUUAUUGAAUUUCUUGAGGAACAGGAAGCUGAUUUGUAACUUAAAUGUCAGGGGUUUUUUUUCUUUUUCUCUCCUUUUCUCUAAUAGUAUCUAUUUAGUUCCUGUGUCAUGUAGUACUUUGUAAAACUAUGGUUUAACUUUUUCUGUCAUCCUUCAUUACAGUUUGACAUAAAGUAACCUAGGAUUUUGCUAUUAGCUACAACUGUUCAGAGGAUAUUAUGGGUUGAAUAUAACUUUUAAGGAAUACAUCUGUGGCACUCCCAUCUUUUUCUGACAUGUCUUGUCUUCAGAAGUGGAAACAAUGUUUAUAUAGACUGACACAUAAUAAAGACAUAUACCGACUUUUAGUCUUGUUUUUGUCAAAAUAUCUACAGUGGUGUGAAAAAGUGUUUGCCCCCUUCCUCAUUUACUAGUGUUUUAGCACAUUAGAAUAUUUGUCACACUUAACUGUAGCUGUUUCAGAUAAUCAAACAAAUUUUAAUAUUAGACAAAUGCCA
ensembl:lncRNA